rnacentral:rRNA from 1 species
GUGAAUUCCAGGGCAGAGUCGGCGUUACUACGGAGGGGUCAAGAGUUAGUCGGAUUUGUUGGGUUUGAAGGGUCCGUAGGCGGAUCUAUAACUCAGUGGUGAAAUCUCACAGCUUAACUGUGAAACUGCCGUUGAUACUGUAGGUCUUGAGUAAAUUUGAAGUUGCUGGAAUAAGUAGUGUAGCGGUGAAAUGCAUAGAUAUUACUUAGAACACCAAUUGCGAAGGCAGGUCACUAAGAUUUAACUGACGCUGAGGGACGAAAGCGUGGGGAGCGAACAGGAUUAGAUACCCCGGUAUUC